GCUCCUGCUGGGGAAAGGCACCAGGUAGGCUGUGCUGUACCAGCACAAGAGGCAGGAGAAGCCUCUAAACCACUAGCAGAGGAAAGCAAGGGGAAACUUCCUGCCUUGCAACAGGGAGCGAGCAGGGAGAGGCCAGUACUCCCCUUGAGAGGAGGGAGGCAAGGGGAACGACGAGGUACCCUGCGUUUGCCAGCAUUGCCCCUAGGAGAAAUAGAGUCAGGGACAGGGGCAGAAUCCCCUGGAAUCCACUGGAUAAGGGAAGGCAGCUCUGGGAGCCUCCCUACCCAAGGGGAAUAUUAUUUCUAGAGAAGUUAAGAGUGAAGGAUGCAAAGAGAUAGCGGAAGAGCCAGAGAGACAAGAAGACAGGCUGGCCGAGUUGUACAGCCGAGUCCAAGUCCCUGCAUUGGUGAAACCGACAGCGAGCAAGCCCGCAGAGGACCUAAGGUCACCAUCCCAUCAGCAUGUGAUCGGUUGGCGAGUGGACGGGGUGUAGGGAUGGCGGAGCCCCGUGGAACACCAUAGGCAACAGCUGAGGAGCUCAAAGAUCGCCAGAAGGGGAAGAUGGCCACAUGGCCUGUUUAUAGCAGGGAUUCACUUCUCUGGGAGCAACACCUAGAUGAGGAUAUAUGCCAUUGCAAGGAAGAUGAGAAUCGGGCUCCCUCUAUUCUUUUUCAAUGGGAUCAUUAACUAUGCCAGACGAAGGACCAUGGAGAGUGACAUCACCACCAGCACAAACAUCCUCAGCAUGUUCCUUCUAUUUUGAGCUUUAAGAAAAAGAAGGGAGCUUAGUCUCUGGGCCAAUAAAAGCUCCACUUACAUUGGGAUUUUGUGCACUAUGGGAUGCAGUCACUGUGACCUGACUGAUGCCUCCUACUUACUGUGACCCCACACAGCUGUUGGCCUCUACUGAUUUACAGUCACCACAACACCAAGCUGCACUUCAAGAAAUUUGCAGCGAAAAGUUCCCAGUCCCACUGUCAAAGCCUCCUUUGGUUUCAGUCCCCCAUAACAAUCAAUGGCAGCUUUAAUUAAGACACCAUUUAAGCCCUAUGAGCCAGAUUUGUGCCAGCCUACUACAAUAAAAUGGCCAUACACAGGCUUUUACACAGAGACUAUCUCUAGAGCAGAGAGCCUCCACUUUGUUUCAGCAGCAAGUUUGGACAUCCUGGGGCAUUCUGGGAAAUAGCAGAGGGAAUCUGGAGUGGGCCAAAGGAUUGAGGGGCAUGUCAAGGACUGAAAAUGUGCUUGAGCCAAAUCUGAAUCCACAACUACUCCACAGCCCUGCAAAGCUACUAAGGUGUCAAUGCACACAGGCGAAGUUAAGAAAGCUCUCAGGACAGUCCAGGUCUGUAUGGCUAGGGACAGAAGUUACACAUAAACCAGUUUAAGUGAUUAGCAACUGGUUUAAACCUGUAACAGAACAGAAGUUCAGUGCACA